rnacentral:tRNA from 1 species
AGAAAGUAAUGCAAGAACUGCUAACUCAUGCUACCGCGCCUACACUCACGGCUUUCUU